CAAUAGCGUAUAUUUAAGUUGUUGCAGUUAAAAAGCUCGUAGUUGGAUUUCGGAUGGGACUUGCCGGUCCGUCGUUUCGAUGUGCACUGGCCAGUCCUAUCUUGUUGUCGGGGACUAGCUCCUGGGCUUCACUGUCCGGGACUAGGAGCUGACGAGGUUACUUUGAGUAAAUUAGAGUGUUCAAAGCAAGCCUACGCUCUGAAUACAUUAGCAUGGAAUAACACGAUAGGACUCUGGCUUAUCUUGUUGGUCUGUGAGACCAGAGUAAUGAUUAAGAGGGACAGUCGGGGGCAUUCGUAUUUCAUUGUCAGAGGUGAAAUUCUUGGAUUUAUGAAAGGCGAACUUCUGCGAAAGCAUUUGUCAAGGAUGUUUUCAUUAA
rnacentral:rRNA from 1 species